rnacentral:misc_RNA from 1 species
AAGUCGUAACAAGGUUUCCGUAGGUGAACCUGCGGAAGGAUCAUUAACACGUAUCCACGUUUAUAAACUAAUCCGAUGCACUGAACUCCCUUUCUUCUAAGUCAAAGCAGUUGUUCAUGGUGUUAUAGUGGGUCUACCCUCUUUCGAGGACUAGGCAUACAUUGUGAGACUAUCACUCUCAUUCGUGAGGGUGAAGCUUUGGAAUUGAAUGAAAGGCUUUCUCAUUACCUCAAUGGUCAACCUCUUUGGCCGCAGGUAGUGAUACCCAUACCAUUUUCACCCUAUUUUACCUAUUUGACUAAUAUACAUUCAGCAGAGAAAUCUGUCUGAAUACUAAGAUUUAUCUUAACUAAGCACAACUCUUAGCAAUGGAUAUCUUGGUUCUC